UACGUAGGGGGCAAGCGUUGUCCGGAUUUAUUGGGCGUAAAGAGCUCGUAGGCGGUCUGUCGCGUCUGCUGUGAAAACUCAGGGCUUAACCCUGAGCUUGCAGUGGGUACGGGCAGACUAGAGUGCGGUAGGGGAGACUGGAAUUCCUGGUGUAGCGGUGAAAUGCGCAGAUAUCAGGAGGAACACCGGUGGCGAAGGCGGAUCUCUGGGCCGUACCUGACGCUGAGGCGCGAAAGCUAGGGGAGCGAACAGG
rnacentral:rRNA from 1 species